CUUUGUCACUGAUUCUCAAAUUUACAGAACAAACACCAACCGAGUAGCAAGAAUCAGAUGACUCUUCAAGAAUGAAAAAUGUUUCAACACAGUAUUCUUGAACAUUCAUUUCUUCUUUUAAUUCCAUUAAUUUUACAAUAUUUCUCAAUUAAAGUUAGACCCAAAAUAUUGAAAUUGCUUCUGAGGUUUUCAAUACAGAAAACGCUAUUGAGUCGAGGCUCAAAAACUUCAUAAAAUUAGCUUCAUUCGGAAGAAAGAUCGUUGCAGAGAGUCCAACAUUGUUGGUUUAAGUUUUUCAUAACUCAAGUAACCAUGCAAUUAGCAUACUUCCUUAAUCUUGCCAAGCUCCACAAGCAUAGUCAAAAGAGCCUCACACAUUUCACUGCAAUCAGGCGCAUCGGGAUCCUUCUUACCUGAAGAGUAAACCAUCCAUGCAUGGUCGAGCUUCCUGUCUGGUCUUACUACAACUGAACCUGGAACUUCAGCAUCUCGGCAAGUUACUAAUCCAUCACUCUUCUCUCCAUACCUAAGCUGCAAGUGCAAUGCGCACGCAGCCAUGGCAGCAGAUAUGGGGAUCGCAACUGGCACCUGACAUCCUGCAUGAAGAACAUCGGGCUCCUCAACCCCAAGUCUUGGAAGGGGAAGCCAAGGAAGUUCUGUUUGUGCUAUUUGUGUCAUUGUAGCAAGGACACCCAGAGCAAUGCUUGCCUCGGAGUGGAACGAGAUAAGAGGGAUUUGCUCAGGGAGCUUGUGCUCCAUGAUAAAUUCCCUCCUUUUAUCAUAAGUGAGAUCUUCCAAUGCUCGAAUGUCACCCUUAAUGAGCUUGCAUAUCAAAAGUUCCAUGAUCUUCCGGGUUUCUUUGUCAGCAAUCUGGCCUUCACGAAGAAUGUCAGAAGCUAUGGGGGAUCCAGCGAAUGGGCUUUGCACCAGUACCAGUCCAGCAACUUUGUCUUUUAAGUCAGACCAGUACAAUGACAAUGCUGCUGCAGCAUCAACCCCACCCUUGCUGUGCCCAAGCAGCAUCACACGCUUUCCUGAGCCCCAGUAAAGUUCCUCCAUGUACUGCUUCAGUUCGCAUGCAUUGUGCUCCACUGAUGCCUCACUGUGAAUUUUUGCAAUGUGACAAGCUAGACCCAUCUUAGAAAAGAAUCUCUUAGUGCCCACAAAAUACAAAGGACCAUGAUUACUAAAAAGGCCUGGUAUUAACAGAUAAACAACUGAGUUGGGAAGUGUGUGCUCUCCAUUCCUUAUUUUUCCAAGCAGCUCUAGGAAUCUAGCGGUACCAUCCUCUACAGGAGCCAUUCCAGGUGUAUGUUGCAACCAUCCAAUAUCAUCAGAUGAACCACGCAAAGUUUUACACACUCGAGAUGUAAUGCUACGAACUUGAACUUGUGCGCAUCGGACAUAAUAGAAUGAGCAUCUCAAGGAGGCCAAUGCCAAUCUCCAUGCAAGUCGAAAACCAAACAAUGGAAGCAUCAACCCUUGAAUAAUAAAGGAGACACAUUGAUGACUAUAACUGGUUUUUGUAAUUUCAUAACUUGUAUUUACAAGUAAUUCCUCCCUCAUGUCCAAGGUUCUUCCACGGAUUCCAGGGCCUGUAUCAGCAAUAUAAAAUUUAGGAGAUGAUGAGCAACCUUCCCCAUCAAAUUUACAAAUGCUGUGGCUAGAAGAUCUUAAAUAUGGUCCAGAGGAAAAGAUUGCCAAACUCUCUGAGCAUCCUUCAUCAUCUUGGAGCACAAGAUCCUCAAUAAAACUAAUCAAUCGAUGACGUAAGUAAGUGGUCAAUGUCACUAGACUGGUGAUAAUGCCACCCACUGAUGAGCAGAAUUCAAAAGAAUUAACAAGAAGACUUGUGUUACUCACAGCAUCACAAUUGACCUGAUAAGAGGACCUAAAAUUAGACCUGAAAAAAUUAGCUCUCAUAUUGAACUUAGUUGACAACAGCCUAGGUGUCAAUGAUGGAAGUUAACAACAUACAAAUUGUUCUAUCAAUUAUCAGUACGCAAUAAAGCCUUUCAUGGGUCAACAACAAAAAGAUUACAUCACUAAGAAGUGUUUCAUAUCUUCAAAUAGUGCUACAUUUGACUAAACAGAGAUCAAUGAUUAUUAAUUUCACGGAAUGAGGUUCAGUUAAAAUAAGGAAGUUUCAACUGACACAUCACAACAACAUAAUAAAUGCACGUCUCCAUGCAUGUGUAUUUGCAGAUGCACAUAUAAACAUGUGCACAAGCUUGUAGAUACCAUAUAUUUAAAUAAAUAUAGCUUAGAAUUGGUCUAAACACCUGCUUUCUGUGAUGAGUGUGCCUUUCUAUAAUGUAAUAUUUACUUGAUUCAUGCCUAACCUGAUGUGACUUCAAUAAUGAAAAAAAAGAACACAAAGUUAGUCAACAUUAGAUUUAGCAUCAUGAAUAACAAAAAGAAAUAGGGAAAAAAGGUCAUUCCUGAUAUGGAAUUUGGCACUUACUGUUGAAGGAAUAUUUGUUACAUCUCCAUUAAUACAUAGAUCUCCCAUAUGAUGUUCCUAUCCUGAGAUUGCAAGUUGAAGAUGAUUUUAGAGAAUGAGAACAGUUUCGUCCAUUUGUAGGCUCACUACUAGAGGGAUAUCCCGGCAAAAUUUAAAUGAUAGUAGCAAUAAGAAAGAAGCUCAUUAUUCUGGUGCAUACAAAAAUAAGGAAAAGAAAAAAACAAAACUUGAUGCAAAAGAUGAAAAUCUUGGGUGGAUGAUUAAUAUCAAUAUCACCUUCAACAAAUAAAAAUUUUAUACCGCUUACAUGAUACAUGCAGUUUUUUGAUAAGCUAGACUAGAUAUGAUCAAUUUUCACGGAGACCAAUUUUUAAAUCUUGAUGGAUACAGAUACUCUUGACAUUACCUAAGGUACAAAUAAAAUGAGGGCAAGCCCAACGAACAGGACUACUGAAAGACACUUUAGAUUCAAAACUCCAAACUCUAAUUCUGGCCGGAUCUCAGAGGACUAUAAGAUUAAAAGCGUUCAAAUUUCAUCAAACCUUCAGUUAAAGACAAUUUUGACAAGUAGUAUUAUAUUCAAAAUUGCACAUUACUAAACUUAAGCACAACCAAAACCGUUUUCCACAAUCCAUGUGCACAAGAAUCUAAUUAAUUAAGUGAAAAUAAAACAGUUCAGCCAAAUACUUAAAUCAAACUUAGAACAAGAUAACGAAAUCCCAGAGAAAGAAAAGCGGUUAAAACUAGUUAUUCCAAAAAUGAAGAAGCAAAACAAGCCAAACCAGAGAAACCCGACAGAUUGAAUCAGAAAUUCAAAGAAGCAGCUAUAGGUGGAAGUAAAAAUGAAAAGGCAGAGAUCUAGAGACUUAGAAAUAAGAAAACAGAAGAUGGAAGGUCCAACAAUAGAGGAAAGACCGAAACCUGCACAACUCAGAAACAGAUGAGUCUUCAGAAUCAAAGCCCACUGAAAUUUAAUUUAUAAUCCAAAUGCAUCCAUUUCGAAAAAGGAAGAGAAGAAUAAAAGCACAUGCAAUUCAAAACAAAAAGAAACAAAUAAAAAAAAAAUAAAUGAAAGAAAGGCAAUAAAUAUGUUGGAAAUAGUAGCAACCGAAUUAGAGCCGAGUCACGGAAGAGCAAUGGGAGUAAUAGAUGAUAGCUAUCCCGUUUGCCUUCACUGCCCAUCAGCUAUGGCCCACUGCCAUUUUUUUUUUUAUACAUUCAAGUUUCUCUCUAUUUUAUUUUUCUUUCUU
rnacentral:misc_RNA from 1 species